CUUGGUCAUUUAGAGGAAGUAAAAGUCGUAACAAGGUCUCCGUAGGUGAACCUGCGGAGGGAUCAUUACAGAGUUCGUGCCCUCACGGGUAGAUCUCCCCACCCUUGUGUAUCUCCGUAUUCUUGUUGCUUUGGCAGGCCGCUGGGCUUCGGCCUGGCCACCGGCUCUGGGGCUGGUGCGCGCCUGCCAGAGGACCUCUCAAACUCGGUUUGUUACUGUCGUCUGAGUACUAUAGCAAUCGUUAAAACUUUCAACAACGGAUCUCUUGGUUCUGGCAUCGAUGAAGAACGCAGCGAAAUGCGAUAAGUAAUGUGAAUUGCAGAAUUCAGUGAAUCAUCGAAUCUUUGAACGCACAUUGCGCCCCUUGGUAUUCCGAGGGGCAUGCCUGUUCGAGCGUCAUUUCAACCCCUCAAGCUUCGGCUUGGUGUUGGGCCGCGCCGCUGCACCAGCAGCUGGCGGGCCUCAAAAUCAGUGGCGGUGCCGUCUCGGCUCUAAGCGUAGUAACAUCUCUCGCUCUGGAGACCUGGCGGUGGCUUGCCAGACAACCCCCAACUUUCUUUAAGGUUUGACCUCGGAUCAGGUAGGGAUACCCGCUGAACUUAAGCAUAUCAAUAAGCGGAGGAAAAGAAACCAACAGGGAUUGCCUCAGUAACGGCGGGUGAAGCGGCAACAGCUCAAAUUUGAAAUCUGGCUCCUUCGGAGUCCGAGUUGUAAUUUGUAGAAGAUGCUUCGGGUGUGGCCCCGGUCUAAGUUCCUUGGAACAGGACGUCAUAGAGGGUGAGAAUCCCGUAUGUGACUGGACGCCUAUGCUCAUGUGAAGCUCUUUCGGCGAGUCGAGUUGUUUGGGAAU
rnacentral:sRNA from 1 species